rnacentral:rRNA from 1 species
GAUGAACGCUGGCGGCGUGCCUAAUACAUGCAAGUCGAGCGAACAGACGAGGAGCUUGCGCCGCGGACGUGAGCGGCGGACGGGUGAGAAACACGUGUAUAACCUACCUAUAAGACUGGGAUAACUUCGGGAAACCGGAGCUAAUACCGGAUAAUAUAUUGAACCGCAGGGUGCAAUAGUGAGAGACGGUGUUGCGGUCACUUAUAGAUGGAUCCGCGCCGCAUUAGCUAGUUGGUAAGGUAACGGGUUACCAAGGCAACGAUGCGUAGCCGACCUGAGAGGGUGAUCGGCCACCCUGGAACUGAGCCACCGUCCAGGCUCCUACGGGAGGCACCAGUCGGCAAUCUGCCGCAAUGGGCGAAAGCCUGACGGAGCAACGCCGCGUGAGUGAUGGAGGUCUUCGGAUCGUAAAACUCUGUUAUUAGGGAAGAACAAAUGUGUAAGUAACUAUGCACGUCUUGACGGUACCUAAUCAGAAAGCCCCGGCUAACUACGUG